rnacentral:rRNA from 1 species
UACAGGGGGUGCAAACGUUGCUCGGAAUUAUUGGGCGUAAAGCGCGCGUAGGCGGCCACUUAAGUCGGAUGUGAAAGCCCCUGGCUCAACUGGGGAAGUGCACCCGAAACUGAAUGGCUUGAAUGCAAAAGAGGGUCGCGGAAUUCCCGGUGUAGAGGUGAAAUUCGUAGAUAUCGGGAGGAACACCAGUGGCGAAGGCGGCGACCUGGACGGAUACUGACGCUGAGGUGCGAAAGCGUGGGGAGCAAACAGG